GAUGAACGCUGGCGGCGUGCCUAAUACAUGCAAGUCGAGCGAAGCGGGGACGGGUGAGUAACACGUGGAUAACCUCCUAUCAGACUGGGAUAACUUCGGGAAACCGGAGCUAAACCGGAUACUUUUAGAUGGAUCCGCGCUCCCUUAGUUUGUUGGUAAGGGAACGUCUUUCCAUGGCAACGAUGCAUAGCCGACCUGAGAGUGUGAUCGGCCACACGGGAACAUAGACAAGGUCCAGAGUCGUUGGCUGGGUGGCGGUAGGGAAUCGGCCGCAAUGGGCGAAAGCCUGACGGAGCAACGCCGCGUGAGUGAUGAAGUUCUUCGGAUAGUAAAACUCUGUUAUUAGGGAAGCGGUACCUAAUCAGAAAGCCACGGCUAACUUCGUGCCAGCAGCCGCGGUAAUUC
rnacentral:rRNA from 1 species